rnacentral:rRNA from 1 species
GCUAAAUUCCUAGCCCCAAUAAUCUCAUAUUUAAACCCCUUAACUUUCCCCUAAAACCAAAACAUUUUAACAACUUAGUAUCAGGCGAUAAAAAAAUUUUUCUGGAGCAUUAUAAUUAGUACCGUAAGGGAAAGGUGAAAUACUAAUGAAAUAACUUUUAAGCACAACAAAGUAGAGCCUCCCCCUCGUACCUUUUGCAUCAUGGUUUAACUAGUUUAAUCAGGCAAAAAGACUUGUAGUCUAACUCCCCGAACCUAGGCGAGCUAUUUUAAGGCAACUUAGCGAGUUAACCCGUCUCUGUUGCAAAAGAGUGGGAAGACCCUAAAAUAGCGGUGACAGACCAAACGAGCCUAGUGAUAGCUGGUUGCUUUUAAAAAGGAUUUUAGUCCCACUCAAAGCUUUCCCAAUACAAAAAACUCCCGCUUUGAAGCAAUUCAAAUAAGGUUCAGCCUAUUUGAAAAAGGAUACAACCUCAACCACUGGGUUACCUUGUUAAAAAAUGAUAAAGUAGGCCUAAAAGCAGCCACCUUGUACAAAAGCGUCAAAGCUUAUCAAUUUUAUUAAACCCAAUUCCCCAAACACCUUUCAACCCCUCAUCACUAAAAAGCAACUCUAUAAUACUAUAGAAGGUUUUAUGUUAAAACUAGUAACAAGAAGCAGCCCUUCUCUUAAAUGUACCUGUACAUCAGUUAGGACACCCCACUGAUUCAUAACGUUCUUAACUAUCAAGUAGCAACACCCCAAGAAAAGUCUACUUCUCCCCCACGUUAACCUAACACAAGAACAUUUUAAGAAAGAUUAAAAGAAAAAGAAGGAACUCGGCAAACAUUAGCUUCGCCUGUUUACCAAAAACAUCGCCUCUUGAUUGAACCAUAAGAGGUCCAGCCUGCCCAGUGACAUUGUUCAACGGCCGCGGUAUCCUAACCGUGCGAAGGUAGCGUAAUCACUUGUCCCUUAAAUGGGGACUAGUAUGAAUGGCCCCACGAAAGCUAUACUGUCUCCUUUUUCCAAUCAGUUAAACUAAUCUUCCCGUGAAGAAGCGGGAAUAAACAUGCAAGACGAGAAGACCCUAUGGAGCUUUAAACAAUUGAAACACUUGCACUUUAUUUUUAAACCUACAUUAAACCUCACAUUUUGUUUCUAGUUUUAGGUUGGGGUGACCGCGGAGAAAAAACUAACCUCCACGUUGAAAGAGAUUUUUCCUCUAAACAAAAAGCUACAUCUUUAUGUAUUAACAUAUUAACCUUAAUUGACCCAAUUUAUUGAUCAACGAACCAAGUUACCCUAGGGAUAACAGCGCAAUCCAUUUCAAGAGCCCUUAUCGACAAAUGGGUUUACGACCUCGAUGUUGGAUCAGGGUAUCCAAGUGGUGCAGCCGCUACUAAUGGUUCGUUUGUUCAACGAUUAAAACCCUACGUGAUCUGAGUUCAGACCGGAGCAAUCCAGGUCAGUUUCUAUCUGUAAAGAGUUCUUCCUAGUACGAAAGGACCGGAGAAACAUGGCCUAUACUUUUUGCAAGCCAUCUAUUUUGCAUUUAUGCCCCUCACUUAAUAGUCAAAAACCUUCCACUCUAUUUUAGAUAAAAAUUA